AUCACUUCUCGGCCUUUUGGCUAAGAUCAAGUGUAGUAUCUGUUCUUAUCCGUUAACAAAGGAGAACUGCAUCACUUCUCGGCCUUUUGGCUAAGAUCAAGUGUAGUAUCUGUUCUUAUCCGUU
rnacentral:snRNA from 1 species